rnacentral:rRNA from 1 species
GAUGAACGCUGGCGGCGUGCCUAAUACAUGCAAGUCGAGCGAACGGACGAGAAGCUUGCUUCUCUGAUGUUAGCGGCGGACGGGUGAGUAACACGUGGAUAACCUACCUAUAAGACUGGGAUAACUUCGGGAAACCGUAGCUAAUACCGGAUAAUAUUUUGAACCGCAUGGUUCAAAAGUGAAAGACGGUCUUGCUGUCACUUAUAGAUGGAUCCGCGCUGCAUUAGCUAGUUGGUAAGGUAACGGCGUACCAAGGCAACGAUGCAUAGCCGACCUGAGAGGGUGAUCGGCGACACUGGAACUGAGACACGGUCCAGACUCCUACGGGAGGCAGAAGUAGGGAAUAUUCCGCAAUGGGCGAAAGCCUGACGGAGCAACGCCGCGUGAGUGAUGAAGGUCUUCGGAUCGUAAAACUCUGUUAUUAGGGAAGAACAUAUGUGUAAGUAACUGUGCACGUCUUGACGGUACCUAAUCAGAAAGCCACGGCUAACUACGUG